GACGAACGCUGGCGGCGUGCUUAACACAUGCAAGUCGAACGGAAAGGCCCUGCUUUUGUGGGGUGCUCGAGUGGCGAACGGGUGAGUAACACGUGAGUAACCUGCCCUUGACUUUGGGAUAACUUCAGGAAACUGGGGCUAAUACCGGAUAGGAGCUCCUGCUGCAUGGUGGGGGUUGGAAAGUUUCGGCGGUUGGGGAUGGACUCGCGGCUUAUCAGCUUGUUGGUGGGGUAGUGGCUUACCAAGGCUUUGACGGGUAGCCGGCCUGAGAGGGUGACCGGCCACAUUGGGACUGAGAUACGGCCCAGACUCCUACGGGAGGCAGCAGUGGGGAAUAUUGCACAAUGGGCGGAAGCCUGAUGCUGCAACGCCGCGUGCGGGAUGACGGCCUUCGGGUUGUAAACCGCUUUCGCCUGUGACGAAGCGUGAGUGACGAUAAUGGGUAAAGAAGCACCGGCUAACUACGUG
rnacentral:rRNA from 1 species